CCUCAUAGCCACACCCUCCUGAAUGCAUCUGACCUUGGAAGCUAAGCAGGGUCAGGCCUGGUUAGUACUUGGAUGGGAGACAACUGGGAAUAGGUAGUGCUGUAUGCU
rnacentral:rRNA from 1 species